AGUGGGGAAUAUUGCACAAUGGAGGAAACUCUGAUGCAGCAACGCCGCGUGGAGGAUGACGCAUUUCGGUGUGUAAACUCCUUUUAUAUAGGAAGAUAAUGACGGUACUAUAUGAAUAAGCACCGGCUAACUCCGUGCCAGCAGCCGCGGUAAUACGGAGGGUGCAAGCGUUACUCGGAAUCACUGGGCGUAAAGCGCAUGCAGGCGGUUUAUUAAGUUGGAAGUGAAAUCCUAUGGCUCAACCAUAGAACUGCUUCCAAAACUGAUAAACUAGAGUCUGGGAGGGGAAGAUGGAAUUAGUAGUGUAGGGGUAAAAUCCGUAGAGAUUACUAGGAAUACCAAAAGCGAAGGCGAUCUUCUGGAACAGUACUGACGCUGAGAUGCGAAAGCGUGGGGAGCAAACAGGAUUAGAUACCCUGGUAGUCCACGCAGUAAACGAUGAAUGUUAGUCGUUGGGACUCUAGUAGUUUCAGUGAUGCAGUUAACACAUUAAACAUUCCGCCUGGGGAGUACGGUCGCAAGAUUAAAACUCAAAGGAAUAGACGGGGACCCGCACAAGUGGUGGAGCAUGUGGUUUAAUUCGAAGAUACGCGAAGAACCUUACCUAGCCUUGACAUAUUAUAGAAUUCAGUAGAGAUACAGAAGUGCCUUCGGGAGCUAUAUUACAGGUGCUGCACGGCUGUCGUCAGCUCGUGUCGUGAGAUGUUGGGUUAAGUCCCGCAACGAGCGCAACCCUCGUCACUAGUUACUAACGGUUAGGCCGAGGACUCUAGUGAGACUGCCUUCGUAAGGAGGAGGAAGGUGAGGACGACGUCAAGUCAUCAUGGCCCUUACGGCUAGGGCAACACACGUGCUACAAUGGUUAGGACAAUGAGAAGCAAUAUCGCGAGGUGGAGCAAAUCUAUAAACCUAAUCUCAGUUCGGAUUGUAGUCUGCAACUCGACUACAUGAAGCUGGAAUCACUAGUAAUCGUAGAUCAGCUAUGCUACGGUGAAUACGU
rnacentral:rRNA from 1 species